rfam:Gossypium raimondii Chr07_contig_223, whole genome shotgun sequence.
GAUAAGAGAAUGACAAAUCAAAUUUUUACUCCUGAUUUUCUGUUUUUUUCCUCUUGAAAAAAAUUCAAAUCUAACUAAAAAAGCUAAAAAUCAGGAGGAAAAAUCUGAUUUGUCAUUCUUCUAUU